rnacentral:rRNA from 1 species
GUGUAGGGGUCUUCCACGACUUUUGGGCCGUAGCUAACGCAUUAAGCGCCCCGCCUGGGGAGUACGGCCGCAAGGCUAAAACUCAAAGGAAUUGACGGGGGCCCGCACAAGCGGCGGAGCAUGUGGAUUAAUUCGAUGCAACGCGAAGAACCUUACCUGGGCUUGACAUAUGCAGGAUCGGCGUAGAGAUACGUUUUCCCUUGUGGUCUGUAUACAGGUGGUGCAUGGUUGUCGUCAGCUCGUGUCGUGAGAUGUUGGGUUAAGUCCCGCAACGAGCGCAACCCUUGUCUUAUGUUGCCAGCACGUGAUGGUGGGGACUCAUGAGAGACUGCCGGGGUUAACUCGGAGGAAGGUGGGGAUGACGUCAAAUCAUCAUGCCCCUUAUGUCCAGGGCUUCACACAUGCUACAAUGGUCGGUACAACGCGCUGCGAGCCUGUGAGGGUGAGCGAAUCGCUGAAAGCCGGCCUCAGUUCGGAUUGGGGUCUGCAACUCGACCCCAUGAAGUCGGAGUCGCUAGUAAUCGCAGAUCA